GGGUAGUAUCUAUUUGUGAUAGAACUGCACCUAUAUUUGUAAGAGUUGUAAUGACAUAUUAGUAGUCUGCCUAGAUCCGAGAGGACAGGGACAGAGGG
rnacentral:ncRNA from 1 species